rnacentral:tRNA from 1 species
GCUCCCAUGGCGUAGUGGUCACUGCGCUCGCCUUGCACGCGGGAGACCCGGGUUCGAUUCCCGGCGGGGACA